CUGGUAUUUGGGUUACAAAGGUCUAUAUUGCCAAACAACUCUGUUUUAAAUAUUAUCUUUGCUUCAUAUUCAUACCUGAUAGUCUUCUCUGAGGGUACCAAUCAAAGGUCAAGACCUUUUUCACAACAUCACUGAUCUUCCUUGAAAAUCCAUGGAGAGUGGAUAGAUCAGAUAGUGGAGUGGUAACUGAAGAAAUAAAGAGGAAGUUGCUCAGGACAGAAGAUAAAAACAUGAGACAAAGGAAACAAACUGCUCUUGGAUAGGGUGCUUCUGAGGCUGGGAUUCUUCCCAGGGAAGACCACGCUGCGGAUCUACUGCUGCAUAAGGAGCCAUGCCAAAAGGACCAGAAAAGGCUUUGGAGUUCCUAACUGGUUUGGGACCAGAGACGGGGAGCACUUAACCAGAGCUCCACUCAGAAGACACCUGGAAUGGGGCUCAUCCCAGACUCAGCCAGGAGGGACAGACCUUAACCUUGGCUGGGACCCAGAAGGCAGAGGAUAGAAAAGAAAAAGGAAGUAAAGAGGAAAUAGAGAAAGCAAACUCUAUGUGGACUGAAAUACAACCUGCUGGGAAGACUGGAAAACGGUUUAGAGUCCUCUGGAUGCCAGAUGUGUUCGUGACCCAGCUACAAGGAAACUGGAUUCUUUCUGGUCACGUUGGAUAUCUGCAUGCGCUUCUAAGUGUUGUAUUGCAUAAAGGAUCCAGCUCCCUGACCAGGGAUUGAACUUGGGGCCCCUGCGUUGGAAGCAUCGAGUCCCAGCCUCUGGACAACCAGGGAAGUCCCUACAGCUCCAUUUUCAAUCAAGAACACUGAGGCUCAGUGGAAUGGUGGUGUUCUUCCUGUGUUUUCAUGUGGCAGAAAGAGAGAGAGAGAGAGAGAGAGCGAGCUCUAAUCUUUUUUCCUCUUCUCCCAAGGACACAAAUUCCAUGAAGAAGGCCCCAUCCCUAUGAUCUCAUCUAAGC
ensembl:lncRNA